GAAGGCCUGUGUGCGUGUGUGAAGGCUUGUGUGCGUGUUUUGGAGGGCGUGUGUGCGUGUGUGCAAAACUCUAGAAUGACACCCGCACUGCCUUACACAACGGCCCUUUCCCUCACACACACGCACACACACACACACACACACACACACACACACAGUCUUGUUUCCAUGUGUACAGUAUGAUAUAUAGUGUCCCUGUCUUUCCUUACAACCACACAGUUACACUACUAAACAUUUCAACGUCACUUAUUUUGUUCGGCAGGCUCAAACUCCAUCCUGGAGCUCCAGAAGAGGCCCUCUGGACUGGGGCCCAAGCAGCGGUGGACUCUCAACAACAACAACAACUCCGUCAAGUAACCCAAGAGAGGAGGAAGACCAUGGAGAAUUUACAACAAUAUGCACAGACAACAAGAAGAAGAAGAAGAAGAAGAGCAAGAAGAUGAGGAGGAGGAAGAGAAUGGAAGAGAAGGAGCAGCACACUAUUGCUCCCACCAUGGAGUCUUAAUGUGUGGAAAUGUUCCAGCGUAGCUAUCAGUAAACAACACCGUCACAAUGGAUAAGACACGGCCCGAAGCAUGACCUCUCACCCGGGUACCCACCAGGUUUUGACGGCACGAGAAUGACAGGUUGAUGUCAAGGCAGUGAAUGGCAUCAUGUCCACUCCACCAACUAUACCUCCACAGCACACACACCCUUGCCACCUUGUUUGCCGCAGCGCACGCCUCCUCGUCUUGUGGGAAGGAAAACACCAUCACUCUGGGUCCAGUUUUGAAGAUUCCCUCCCAGUAAGGCACACAGCACUUGUAUGGCAGUAUUGUUAUCUGGCACUGCCGACACUCCCUGAAGGCCUACAACAGCACGCUUGGGGGCAGUCGACAGGUGUUCGCCGUGCCCUGCUACACUAUGCACAUUGGGAACCUCAAGCUGUGCAAGCCUAAGAGUGUGAGUUACCCGAGGGUUUGGAUUGACUUCAACCUGGGCACCUCCUCCAUCCUCAUCCUGUGCCAGGUGGAGAGCACGCCCCAGCCCUCCCACCCGGUACUGCCAGAAGAAGACAAGGAGGAGGAGGAGGAGGUGGAAGAGGAAUCAUUUGGUGAGUGUUAAUUUUGUUCUGUUGUUUCUUCCUCCUCUCUCAAUCCUUUUCCUCUUCUCUGAUUCAUUUGCAUUCUACAAUUG